GCCAGUAUGGCGCAAUGGGUUGAGUGUUGGACUACGACUCUGGAAAUCAGGGUUCGAUUCCCUGCUCAGCCA